rnacentral:tRNA from 1 species
ACGGCAGUAGCUCAGCUGGAUAGAGCAUCGGCCUUCUAAGCCGAGGGUGGGGGUUCGAGUCCCUCCUGCCGUACCA